rnacentral:lncRNA from 1 species
ACCCGGAUGGUCAAGGAUAAGGUAAAGAAAUAUUAGUUCAUUUACAUGUAAAUUUAGUACCAUAUGCUUUUGUUUUUUUAAAGGUAUAGUCUAGUUGAUUGGGAUCAAUUACGAGAUCCAAUUAAAAUAUAGUUGAGCAAAUUAUGCUAUGAUUUGGUUCGAUUAUAAUUUAAUAUUUGAGAAAUUAUUGUUAAAGUUUUCAUGAAGUUUUAUUUAUUUAUAUGUCUCUUCUCUACAUGUUUGUCUCUACAUAUUUGUGUGCGAGAGAGAGAGAGUGAGAUCGAAUCUUAGUAUU